AGUUUCAAUUGAAUUGUGCGUCGCGCCAUAGACUGGAGUACUCAUUCAGUCACUCAGUCGGUCAUUCAGACGGAGGGACGUUGUGUCUUUUACACAGAAAAAAAUAUAUAAUUGGAAUGGGAAAUAAAUUAUGAAGAGUGCAUCCACUUUGGUAACUAUUCACUCAACAAUGGACUGGCCAACAGUUUUCGAUCCGACCCGUUUGUUCGCCGCUCAUUAGCAUUUCUUUUUUGGACUGGCGAGCUGCUUUUCUUGCCAAUUUCGGGCGACAGGAACUGGCCUUUCCGCCUCAUCCCGAGCUUUAGCUAAAUGAAUCGGAUUGGAUAUAUGGCCAUGAUUGUUCAGACCCAAUCUGCAUUUGAAUCUGUAUCAAUGUAGCUGUCCGACUAAUUGUGAGGCUCAGACAGAGGACCGGAAAUGAUUUGCACACUCGUCUGAAAGAUUGUAUGUAUAAUGGCUCAUUAGCAAAGAUGGAAUAAAGAAAGAGAUCCACAGUGGA